GCCGCAGCCAGCCGCCGCCUGAGCCGGCUUGUCGCUCGGGUCCCUGCCCCGCCGCCCAGGAGGGCUUUCCCAGGGAGGAGCGUGGGGGAGCCCCCCAGGAAGGGCCGAGGGGGGAGAAAGCGGCCGAGGAGGUGUCAUGGAGGCCCGGCUGGGCCUGCCGUGGGGAGCAGCCCGGCCCGGGCAUGGCUGCGGGGCCGGCGAGCUCCGUCCAGACGCUGGUGGAAAAUGGAGAAGCUGCCAGGAUUCGCGGAGGAGAUAAUUUCUGAACAGAGAACAGCUUCUGUGACUGCUUAGGAAAUCAAUGAAGUCUACAACAACCACCAGCCAGACUCCCUUUUGCAAGUUUCAACAAGCGUUGUGCAUGGAAAUACAAACUGCUCUGCUUUUGUGACUAUCUGCACCAACCAGACCCCUAUCUAUACGUGCUGACAGCUGGGGAGUUAUUUCAAUAGUGGCUUUGCCUAUAGGAAAACAUUUGCCAGCAUAAGAAAAGAAGCAUCCAGCUUUGUCAGACCAUUGGUCCAUCCUGACUUUAACAGCAGAAAUAGAUGUCAUCUGGAGAGAAAACGUUGUCAUUUUUACAUAUCGCAAGCCCAGCAAAUUCCUUCCACUACAGAUAAAAACAUUCCGACUUCUGAUUUUUAAUUUUGAACAAAAUAAACCUAUCCUCGCAACACAGCUUUUUGCUACUCUGACAGCGCUUGUACUAUAGAUCCAGUCUGCCUCAGGCUAACUUAUUUUGUCUAUUCAUCAGACCUAGGGACGUAGCCGUUGCUACAAUGACCACAGCUAAUUAUUUCUGUACCUGCUCUAGGCCUGGGGCUGGAUUUGGGUUCACUAUACCACGAGUGAACAGGGCUCUCCAAGAUAAAACUAUUUUAGUGGGAUUACAGUGAAUACAAGUCACUGUAAAUUCUGGUGUGAACUGGGCUGUGCUUUUGUAACUGCCCAAGCUGUUCUAAGCACGGUAAGACUUCUUACUUUCCAUUCUUACCCUCUAUUUCCUGCUGAUACCUCCUCAUCGGUAGCGCGUCAGAACCCACUGCGCUGGCGGUCACUGCUCCUACCGUAGCACAAACAGCACGGCUGCGGGUUUUGUUUUUUCAUGUACACUGGCUUCACAGACGGCUUUCAAAAUGCCUUCAGCUAGACACACACUAUCAAAAGAUUUUUCCUUGCUUUCAAAUCUACUAUUCAAGAAAACCGGUAAAACAGACUUACCUUUACAAGAUCAACGAUCAACAUUUAAAAUGUGGAUUAAAAGAUUUUAAAUCAUGUGUCAUACAAUCUCAAUCUGAAAAUGGCACACACUCAGGAAAGUCUGCUCCCAGAUGUGCAGGUCCAUUGGUAGAAAGACUC